GGAAGACAAGAAAAGCUGACCCUCAUUGUCAAUUCACAAUGGUAACCUUGGAGGCUUGAACAAACAAAUUCAACCUUAAGAACAAUUAUUGAGCACGUCAAUCAACCAAGUUAUAGAAACACAAAAUAUAAUCCUGCAUUUCACAACAUUAUUUCUUCACUGAAAAAUGGUGCACAAAAUAAACAGCAAUACAGAGCACUUAUAUCACACAGGAACAAAUUGCGAUAAAAACCCACAAAGGAAACCCAAGAUUAAAGCCAAUCCAAAAA
rnacentral:misc_RNA from 1 species